rnacentral:rRNA from 1 species
AAUCAACGCUGGCGGCGCGCCUAACACAUGCAAGUCGAACGAGAAAGUGGCGCAAUCCAUGAGUAAAGUGGCGUACGGGUGAGUAACACGUGGAUCAUCUACCUUUUAGUGGGGAAUACCGCUGGGAAACCGGCGACAAUACCGCAUAAGCUCGAGAGAGGAAAGCCGCAAGGCGCUGAAAGAGGAGUCCGCGGCCGAUUAGCUAGUUGGCAGGGUAAUGGCCUACCAAGGCUGUGAUCGGUAGCCGGCCUGAGAGGGCACACGGCCACGCUGGCACUGAAACACGGGCCAGACUCCUACGGGAGGCAGCAGUGGGGAAUCUUGCACAAUGGGGGCAACCCUGAUGCAGCGACGCCGCGUGAGCGAUGAAGCCCUUUCGGGGUGUAAAGCUCUUUCGGCAGGGAAGAUUAUGACGGUACCUGCAGAAGCAGCUGCGGCUAACUACGUGCCAGCAGCCGCGGUAAUACGUAGGCAGCAGGCGUUGUUCGGAGUUACUGGGCGUAAAGGGUGCGUAGGCGGCUCUAUAAGUAUGGUGUGAAAUCUCCCGGCUUAACUGGGAGGGUGCGCCGUAGACUGUGGGGCUAGAGUGUGGGAGAGGAAAGUGGAAUUCCUGGGUGUAGCGGUGAAAUGCGUAGAUAUCAGGAGGAACACCGGUGGUGUAAACGGCUUUCUGGACCAUAACUGACGCUGAGGCACGAAAGCGAGGGUAGCAAACAGGAUUAGAUACCCUGGUAGUCCACGCCCUAAACGAUGCAUAUUUGGUGUGGGCCAUUCAUUUGGUCCGUGCCGGAGCUAACGCGUUAAAUAUGCCGCCUGGGGAGUACAGUCGCAAGGCUG